ensembl:snoRNA
AUCCUUUCUGGUUUAUAAGCAUGAUGAUUGGGUGUUCACAAGUUUGUGUGACAUGUGCCUCUCUUAAAUCUUGUUGCGCACUUGACACAUUUCUUAUGUGAUG